rnacentral:piRNA from 1 species
UCCUUGAAGGGUCUAGUCACAUAAGA